rnacentral:rRNA from 1 species
GACGAACGCUGGCGGCGUGCCUAAUACAUGCAAGUCGAGCGAAGUUUUUCUGGUGCUUGCACUAGAAAAACUUAGCGGCGAACGGGUGAGUAACACGUAAAGAACCUGCCUCAUAGACUGGGACAACUAUUGGAAACGAUAGCUAAUACCGGAUAACAGUAUUUCUCGCAUGAGAGAUAUUUAAAAGUUGGUUAUGCUAACACUAUGAGAUGGCUUUGCGGUGCAUUAGCUAGUUGGUGGGGUAAAGGCCCACCAAGGCGACGAUGAAUAGCCGACCUGAGAGGGUGAUCGGCCACACUGGGACUGAGACACGGCCCAGACUCCUACGGGAGGCAGCAGUAGGGAAUCUUCCGCAAUGGGCGAAAGCCUGACGGAGCAACGCCGCGUGAGUGAAGAAGGAUUUCGGUUCGUGAAGCUCUGUUGUUAGGGAAGAAUGGAUAUGUAGUAACUAUACAUGUAAGAGACGGUACCUAACCAGAAAGCCACGGCUAACUACGUG